rnacentral:rRNA from 1 species
CGUCAGCUCGUGCCGUGAGGUGUCAGGUUAAGUCCUAUAACGAGCGCAACCCUUACUUUCAGUUGCCAGCACGUAAUGGUGGGGACUCUGGAGGAACUGCCUACGCAAGUAGAGAGGAAGGUGGGGAUGACGUCAAAUCAGCACGGCCCUUAUGUUCGGGGCUACACACGUGCUACAAUGGUCGAUACAGAGGGCAGCUACUUGGCAACAAGAUGCGAAUCUCGAAAAUCGAUCUCAGUUCGGAUCGGAGGCUGUAACUCGCCUCC